CAUGGAGACAUGAUUUUCCCUUUGGGACAGAGAGACAGGUGGUGCAUGGUUGUCGUCAGCUCGUGUCGUGAGAUGUUGGGUUAAGUCCCGCAACGAGCGCAACCCUUAACUUUAGUUGCCAUCAUUGAGUUGGGCACUCUAGAGUGACUGCCGGUGACAAACCGGAGGAAGGUGGGGAUGACGUCAAAUCAUCAUGCCCCUUAUGAUUUGGGGUACACACGUGCUACAAUGGACAGGAACAAAGGGCAGCGAAACUGUGAAGUCAAGCGAAUC
rnacentral:rRNA from 1 species